GAUUGGGAUAAACUAGGAGCUCCCUUGC
rnacentral:piRNA from 1 species